GGGUCGUAUGUCGCGAUAGGGUCGCGAUAGGGCCACGAUAGGGUCAUGAUAGGGUCGUAUGUCGCGAUAGGGCCGCGAUAGGGCCACAAUAGGGUCGUAUGUCGUGAUAGGGUCAUGAUGAUAUCCCGAUAGGGCCAUAUGUCACGAUAGGGUCGCGAUAGGGUCACAAUAGGGCCAUGGUGAUAUCGCAAUAGAGCCAUAUGUCACGAUAGGGCCAUGAUAGGGUCGCAAUAGGGCCACAAUAGGGUCACAAUAGGGUCAUAUGUCAUGAUAGGAUCACGAUGAUAUCGCGAUAGGGCCAUAUGUCACGAUAGGGCCACGAUAGGGCCGCAAUAGGGCCACAAUAGGGUCACGAUAGGGUCAUAUGUCGCGAUAGGGCUGCGAUAGGGUCAUGGUGAUAUCCCGAUAGGGCCAUAUGUCGUGAUAGGGCCGUGAUAGGGUCACGAUAGGGUCGUAUGUCGUGAUAGGGCUGCGAUAGGGUCAUGGUGAUAUCGUGAUAGGGCCAUAUGUCGCGAUAGGGCCACGAUAAGGUCACAAUAGGGCCACAAUAGGGUCACGAUAGGGUCAUAUGUCGCGAUAGGGCCGCAAGAGGGUCAUGGUGAUAUCCCAAUAGGGCCAUAUGUUGUGAUAGGGCCGCGAUAGGGUCACGAUAGGGCCACGACAGGGCCAUAUGUCGCGAUAGGGCCACAAUAGGGUCGCAGUAGGGCCAUUAUAGGGUCACAAUAGGGUUGUAUGCCACGAUAGGGCCAUGAUAGGAUCAGUAUAUCGUGAUAUAAGAUGCCAUAUGGUGAUAUAUCGCUCCAUAUCGCUCCAUAUCGCACCACAUUGCGACAUAAGGCAGUAUAUCGCGACAUAAGGUGCCACAUGGCGAUAUAUCGCGACAUAUCGCGACAUAAAGGUGCCCUAUGGCGACAUAUCGCGACAUAUCGCGACAUAAAGGUGCCACAUGGCGAUAUAUCGCGACGUAUCGCGACGCAUCGCGACAUAAAGGUGCCGUAUUGCACCGUAUCGCGCCGUAAAGCAGUAUAUCGCGACAUAAAGGUGCCAUAUCGCACCGUAUCGUGA
rnacentral:lncRNA from 1 species